AGUGAACGCUGGCGGUAGGCCUAACACAUGCAAGUCGAACGGCAGCACAGUAAGAGCUUGCUCUUACGGGUGGCGAGUGGCGGACGGGUGAGGAAUACAUCGGAAUCUACUUUUUCGUGGGGGAUAACGUAGGGAAACUUACGCUGAUACCGCAUACGACCUACGGGUGAAAGCAGGGGAUCUUCGGACCUUGCGCGAUUGAAUGAGCCGAUGUCGGAUUAGCUAGUUGGCGGGGUAAGGGCCCACCAAGGCGACGAUCCGUAGCUGGUCUGAGAGGAUGAUCAGCCACACUGGAACUGAGACACGGUCCAGACUCCUACGGGAGGCAGCAGUGGGGAAUAUUGGACAAUGGGCGCAAGCCUGAUCCAGCCAUACCGCGUGGGUGAAGAAGGCCUUCGGGUUGUAAAGCCCUUUUGUUGGGAAAGAAAAGCAGCAGGUUAAUACCCCGCUGUUCUGACGGUACCCAAAGAAUAAGCACCGGCUAACUUCGUG
rnacentral:rRNA from 1 species